rnacentral:rRNA from 1 species
UACAGAGGUGGCGAGCGUUAUUCGGAAUUAUUGGGCGUAAAGGGCGCGUAGGCGGCCAAGCAAGUCCUGGGUGAAAUCCCUCGGCUCAACCGAGGAACUGCCUCGGAAACUGCAUGGCUUGAGGCCGGGAGAGGGUAGCGGAAUUCCCAGUGUAGCGGUGAAAUGCAUUGAGAUCGGAAAGAACACCAACGGCGAAAGCGCUCUGCUGGGCCGACACUGACACUGAGAGACGAAAGCUAGGGGAGCAAAUGGG